GUAGCCCAGUUGGCAGAGGCAGCCGUUCAAACUCAGACUCCCGCUCCAGAUUCAGCAUUGCCGUCGAGCGCCAGAUCGACCGAGGUGGACUGUGAUCGUUGAGAUGCCGGUUCGAGUCCGGCUCGAU
rnacentral:tRNA from 1 species